ACGCCUGGCGUCUCCUUUGGGACUUGGGGUUCGGGCACCUUUGUGGGACCGUGGUCCCCGCGGCCCGGGCGGGACUGGGGGCGGCGGGGGCGACAGGCGCUGACGUCGCGGCCGCCCCUGGGCUCGGGUCGGCGGUGCGAACUUGUUUUCGCGGUGGGGGUAUUCUGGCCCACUCCUGUCCCACGGGUCCUGGGGCGGCGGGACCGAGGACCUCCUGGUAUCUGUAGGAUCCACUUUGGGGUGCCGAGUUACUGCGUUUUUAGAAACUGUGCUAGCAUCAUCGAUGUUUUGGAAGAUGUUAGCCUAAAUUAGAUUUUUUUUUUUCUUUUUUCCUCUCUGCCUCAUCUUGGGACUGCCCCUGCUUUCUUACGUUAAUGGCAUUAUCUUCUGAAUAUAUUCUCACAGGAUUACAACAGUGGGUGAGGGAGAAACCUAGUAAAGAUGUUUGGUAUUGACAUUGAUUUUAUUGAUAUUUAAUUGAGAAGUUUGCGGUGUUUAAACGCUGGACCGCUGAGUAUUUUACAACUUUAUAUGUUGAAGGUUGAUUGACAUUGAACACUUAGUUGAAAAUUAACCGCUCUGAUAAAAUUACCAGAGGAGGCCUGAUCGUUCUUGAACAUUUUUGAUAAGCAUUUAAAAGAAAAAAGCCUAUAGAUGAUUCAAUAACAUGUUUGGUAGCUUCGAAGACAAAGGAACUGUGUUAAAGAGGAGUGACAUAAAAUUUUUAAUUUGAAUCACAAAAACGACUCCUUGACUCACUAAAUCGAAAAAGAUGAUUGGAAGAAUCUCUUGGAGGUUAUUUCUGAGGGAGUGAAUGCUAUGUUGGUUGACUAUCACUAUUGAGAUUGUUAAAAUAAUUCCGAAGGAAACUAGUAGUUAAAGGACCGGGGUUUGUCUUAGAAAUGCUUUUCUGAACCGCAGUUUCCUAAAUUCUAAAAUUUUUAUCACAGUUCCUUUCUCAAAAAAUGAUAGUUUACUAUUUUUGCUGUUAUUUUUUAAUGUAAUUUCAGCAAUGUCUUCCCGGACUGGAGAGAGCCACAGCGGCGAUAACAAAAUGAGGUGAUCUAGGAAGUUAGAUUAAAAACAGACGUUGAACUUGGCCUGUGGAAACAUCAUCAACAGCUUCUUACCCAGUUGUCACAUUCAGAGUAUGUCUAUCUAGUACAGAAAGAGAAAAACACAGGCAAGCACAAA